UAUAGAGACCUCAAGCGUUAUCCGGAAUCAUUGGGCGUAAAGCGUACCGAUAGGUGGUUUAGAAAGUUUUGGGUAAAAGCCAGAAGCUCAACUUCUGAGUUUGCUCAAAAUACUUCUCAACUAGAGGGGCAAAGAGGUCCUUGGAACGAACGGUGUAGUAGUGGAAUGCGUUGAUAUCGUUCGGAACACCGAAAGCGAAGGCAGAGGACUGGGUGCCACCUGACACUACUAGGACGAAAGCGUGGGGAGCGAAUGGG
rnacentral:rRNA from 1 species